rnacentral:rRNA from 1 species
UGCAAGUCGAACGAGAUCCAUUCAGUAGCAAUACUGAUGAAGAUCUAGUGGCGAACGGGUGCGUAACACGUGAGGAACUUGUCCCGGUCUCUGGGAUAACAGUUGGAAACGACUGCUAAUACCGGAUGACGUCGGAACUUCGCAUGGAGUACUGACGAAAGGGUUACUGGAUCGGGAGAGCCUCGCGGCCUAUCAGCUUGUUGGUGGGGUAAUGGCCUACCAAGGCAUCGACGGGUAGCUGGUCUGAGAGGAUGAUCAGCCACACUGGGACUGAGACACGGCCCAGACUCCUACGGGAGGCAGCAGUGGGGAAUCUUGCACAAUGGGCGAAAGCCUGAUGCAGCAACGCCGCGUGCGGGAAGAAGGCCCUCGGGUUGUAAACCGCUUUCAGAAGGAACGAAACUGACGGUACUUUCAGAAGAAGGUGCGGCCAACUACGUGCCAGCAGCCGCGGUGACACGUAGGCACCAAGCGUUGUCCGGAUUUAUUGGGCGUAAAGAGCUCGUAGGCGGUUCAGUAAGUCGGGUGUGAAAACUUUGGGCUUAACCCAAAGCGUGCAUCCGAUACUGCUGUGACUUGAGUACGGUAGGGGAGCGGGGAAUUCCUAGUGUAGCGGUGAAAUGCGCAGAUAUUAGGAGGAACACCGGUGGCGAAGGCGCCGCUCUGGGCCGAAACUGACGCUGAGGAGCGAAAGCAUGGGUAGCAAACAGGAUUAGAUACCCUGGCAGUCCAUGCCGUAAACGUUGGGCACUAGGUGUGG